rnacentral:rRNA from 1 species
GCCGGUCUUAGUGGCGAACGGGUGAGUAACACGUAAGUAACCUACCUUUAAGACGAGGAUAACAAUCGGAAACGGUUGCUAAGACUGGAUAGGAAAUAAAAAGGCAUCUUUUUGUUUUUAAAAGACCUUCUUCGGAGGGUAUGCUUAAAGAGGGGCUUGCGCCACAUUAGUUAGUUGGUGAGGUAAAGGCUUACCAAGAUUAUGAUGUGUAGCUGGACUGAGAGGUUGAACAGCCACAUUGGGACUGAGACACGGCCCAAACUCCUACGGGAGGCAGCAGUAGGGAAUUUUCGGCAAUGGAGGAAACUCUGACCGAGCGACGCCGCGUGAACGAUGAAGUAUUUCGGUAUGUAAAGUUCUUUUAUUGAAGAAGAAAAAAUAGUGGAAAAACUAUCUUGACGUUAUUCAAUGAAUAAGCCCCGGCUAACUAUGUGCCAGCAGCCGCGGUAAGACAUAGGGGGCGAGCGUUAUCCGGAAUUAUUGGGCGUAAAGGGUGCGUAGGCGGUUAGAUAAGUCUAUAAUUUAAUUUCAGUGCUUAACGCUGUCUUGUUAUAGAAACUGUCUUGACUAGAGUGAGAUAGAGGCAAGCGGAAUUCCAUGUGUAGCGGUAAAAUGUGUAAAUAUAUGGAGGAACACCAGAAGCGUAGGCGGCUUGCUGGGUCUUUACUGACGCUGAGGCACGAAAGCGUGGGGAGCAAACAGGAUUAGAUACCCUGGUAGUCCACGCUGUAAACGAUGAGUACUAAGUGUCGGGGCAACUCGGUACUGAAGUUAACACAUUAAGUACUCCGCCUGAGUAGUACGUACGCAAGUAUGAAACUUAAAGGAAUUGACGGGACUCCGCACAAGCGGUGGAUCAUGUUGUUUAAUUCGAAGAUACACGAAAAACCUUACCAGGUCUUGACAUACUCUGCGAAGCUAUAGAAAUAUAGUGGAGGUUAUCAGGGAUACAGGUGGUGCAUGGUUGUCGUCAGUUCGUGUCGUGAGAUGUUAGGUUAAGUCCUAAAACGAACGCAACCCCUGUCGUUAGUUACCAGCACGUAAUGGUGGGGACUUUAGCGAGACUGCCAAUUAAACAUUGGAGGAAGGUGGGGAUAACGUCAAAUCAUCAUGCCCCUUAUGAUCUGGGCUACAAACGUGAUACAAUGGCUGUUACAAAGAGUAGCUGAAACGCGAGUUUUUAGCCCAUCUCUCAAAUAAGAACUUAGUCUUUGAAGUCU